ACUGGCUUUAGGUUUCCAGCGGCAGCAGCAUCAGCAUCAGCAUCAGCAUCAGCAGCAGCAUCAGCAUCAGCAUCAGCAUCACUGGGCUGGCGCUGCAGUUGCGCUGGCACACAUUUAACGUGGGUGCACAGCGAUAGAGUGAGAGAGGGAGAGAGGGGGAGAGAGAGAAAGAGACGCCGCAUCUUGUGGAUUUCUUCUUUCAAGCCCGUGUACAUGGUUCUCCUCGCGUUCCCUCAGCCACGCACAGACGGGGAGUUUAUUUCACUUCACGGGGGAAAAUGUGGCAUCGGACAGUUGCGAGGAUCCUUGCUCUAUUGGUUUUCUGUGGCUCCUCGCUUGCAGGCUUUCCAAACCAGAUCAACAUUGGUGGGCUGUUCAUGCGCUCCACGGUGCAGGAGCACAGCGCCUUCAGGUUUGCUGUUCAGCUGUACAACACCAACCAGAAUGUGACAGAGAAACCCUUCCACCUUAAUUACAAUGUCGACAACUUGGAGUCCUCCAACAGUUUCUCUGUCACGCAUGCCUUCUGUUCCCAGUUCUCCCGGGGAGUUUACGCCAUCUUCGGCUUCUACGACCGGAAGUCCAUGAACACGCUGACCUCCUUCUGCGGGGCCCUGCACACCUCCUUCAUCACGCCCAGCUUCCCCAUCGACAACGACGUGCAGUUCGUCAUCCAGAUGAGGCCCAGCUUGAAGGGAGCUGUGCUCAGUCUGCUGGACCACUACAAGUGGGAGAAGUUCGUCUACCUGUACGACACCGACCGAGGUUUUGCAAUCCUCCAGGCCAUCAUGGAGUCGGCCGUUGCCAAAAACUGGCAGGUGACAGCUCGCUCAGUGGGGAACAUCGUGGAUCCGACAGAGUACCGGCGCAUCAUCGAGGAGAUGGACCGCCGGCAGGAGAAACGCUUCCUCGUCGACUGUGAGGUGAACAGGAUCAACGUGAUACUGGAGCAGGUGGUGAUCGCAGGCAAGAGCGGCCGAGGGUACCACUACAUCCUGGCCAACCUGGGUUUUUCCAACAUGAGCCUGGACAGGGUUAUUUCUGGUGGGGCCAACAUCACAGGCUUCCAGAUCAUCAACCCAGACAGCACCAUCGUCCAGCAGUUCCUUCAGCGCUGGGAGCGCUUGGAUGAAAGAGAAUUUCCAGAAGCCAAAAACACUCCACUGAAGUACACGUCGGCACUUACUCACGAUGCCAUCCUCGUGAUUGCGGAGGCCUUCCGGUAUCUUCGACGCCAGCGAGUUGACGUUUCGCGCCGGGGGAGUGCGGGUGACUGCCUGGCCAAUCCCGCCGUGCCCUGGAGCCAAGGCAUUGACAUAGAGAGAGCCCUCAAAAUGGUCCAAGUACAAGGUAUGACAGGAAACAUCCAGUUUGACACAUUUGGGAGACGAUCUAAUUACACCAUCGACGUGCACGAGAUGAAGUCCACGGGCCCCAGGAAGAUCGGCUACUGGAAUGAGUACGAAAAAUUUGUUUAUAUAAUGGAUCCGCAGGUCACCAACGAGUCCUCUUCUGUGGAAAACCGAACAAUUGUGGUCACUACUAUUAUGGAAGCUCCGUAUGUGAUGUACAAGAAAAACUAUAUGACAUCGGACGGGAAUGACAGAUAUGAAGGCUACUGUGUCGAUUUAGCUUCUGAAAUUGCAAAGCAUGUGGGGAUCAAAUAUAAGCUGUCCGUAGUGCCAGACGGGAAAUACGGAGCCAGAGAUCCAGAAACCAAGACCUGGAACGGGAUGGUGGGUGAACUGGUCUAUGGGAGAGCUGACAUAGCUGUGGCUCCACUAACCAUAACACUGGUACGGGAAGAGGUGAUAGACUUCUCUAAACCCUUCAUGAGCUUGGGCAUCUCCAUUAUGAUAAAGAAGCCCCAAAAGUCCAAGCCGGGGGUGUUUUCCUUCCUGGACCCGCUGGCCUAUGAGAUCUGGAUGUGUAUAGUCUUUGCCUAUAUCGGCGUCAGCGUGGUGCUCUUCCUGGUGAGCCGCUUCAGCCCUUAUGAGUGGCAUCUGGACGAGAAUGAUGAGGCCAAAGAUCCUCAGAGCCCCCCUGACCCUCCAAACGACUUCGGGAUUUUUAAUAGCCUGUGGUUCUCCUUGGGUGCCUUCAUGCAGCAAGGGUGCGAUAUCUCACCAAGGUCUCUGUCCGGUCGCAUUGUCGGGGGAGUGUGGUGGUUCUUCACCCUCAUCAUCAUCUCCUCCUACACGGCCAACCUGGCUGCCUUCCUCACCGUGGAGAGGAUGGUGUCUCCCAUAGAGAGCGCCGAGGACCUGGCCAAGCAGACGGAGAUCGCCUACGGCACCUUAGACUCCGGCUCCACCAAGGAGUUCUUCAGGCGCUCCAAAAUAGCAGUUUAUGAGAAAAUGUGGUCGUACAUGAAAUCGGCCGAACCCUCAGUGUUUGUCAAGACAACACCAGACGGGGUUUCCCGGGUACGAAAGUCGAAGGGCAAGUUUGCCUUUCUGCUCGAAUCCACCAUGAACGAGUACAUAGAGCAGCGGAAGCCAUGUGACACCAUGAAAGUGGGCGGCAACCUCGACUCGAAGGGCUACGGUGUGGCCACGCCUAAAGGCUCCGCAUUAGGAAAUGCUGUUAACCUGGCAGUGUUAAAACUGAAUGAGCAAGGCCUCUUGGACAAAUUGAAAAACAAAUGGUGGUACGACAAGGGAGAGUGCGGCAGCGGGGGAGGUGACUCUAAGGUCAGCCUCGAUGUCACGAAGUCGGGUAUCCUAGAACAGAGUAAUCGGCAAGGCUGUCGUCACUGGCGCUGAAAUCUGAGGCUAAAAAGGCAACUUGACCGAUAACCACGUACUGUAUGUGUUAGAUAUCUAUUCUGUUGAUCAACUGGGAACCCUUUGCUAGGCUAAUGGAGGAGAAAAGCAGCGAUAAUGUGAGAUAAACGUGAACUCUAGGAAACGCAGGGCUUGUGACAGAGUAGUUGUUUGGCCCGUGGUUAUGAAAGGCAGACGCCAUCCUUUUCUCUGGCUUUGAUAUCUACAGGCCAAUAAUAAAAAAAAAGAGAAAAAAAUCUCAGUAUCCUCACAUGUGGGAUGCAAACUAACAGCCAAAGAAAGUGAUUAUCUUACCUAAGUGGGAGGAUAGUCAGGGCAGGCACAGGAAACAGCGUUGUCUUGAGGGGACUAAGCAUCACAGGUAAACGUGAGAACUCUAAUGACGACGUGACGCCCAAACGGGCCACGCUUUGCUUUUUCUUCAUUUUGAUUUGUUGUUCCCUCCGACACCCUCACAAUGAACUCCAGCGUGUGACUGAUAAAGGCUUUUGCCUGGUCUCAACCUCAGACCAGUCAAAGCCUUUCCAUGGCCCCCCCUGACCUGGUACCACCCUGCAGUCACAGGAACAUACGAGCAGCAGGAAUUCACUCAAACAUACAUCUUACUAGGGUGUUUUAUUGUUUCCUAUCAUGGCACCGAAGCUGAGGUGCAAGGAACCGUGAGACGAUGCAGCUCUUGCAAAUGUUUGCUGGUGUGGGCCGCGGGACACGGGCGCGGGAAAAUGACGCGUUGCAUUUUCCAGCAUGGCCUGUCGCACUUAAACACCUAGUUCAUGUUCUAGUUAAAAACUGUUUAUUCAAAAGCUGCAUUGUCUCAUUUUUCAUGUCAAGUUAAAAGUGAUUAAACCGUAGGUAGUUCAACUAAUUAUCUUCUUCCUUUUUUCUUUUUUUUUUAUAUGAAGCCUGUCUUUCUUUUUCAUGCUGCGUGCAUGUUUUGUAUGUUUUAGCAUGACACAGUUUAUCCGUGAGCUGCACCACGAGCUCAGCUUUGCAGAACAGCAGGGACUGUGUUCGUCCUACAUCGGCACCUAUAACAGAUUUCUUUUCAUCACAUCUGUUGUUCAGACCUCCUAUAAGCGACCUGAUCUUGUGCCGCAGACCCCGGGCUGUAGUAACUGCGGAUCCAUCUCUGCCUCAGCUCUUCAGCUUGCAGCACCAUGAGAGCGGAGGCCGGGCUAGCCGGGCCCGCCUCGCUGUUACUCCCUCUGGUCAUCCGGUCCUGAGUGAGCAGGCUCCGGAUACCGCCAGAGGAGUAGCACGAGAGCCGCAUCUCCUCGCCCUUAAUCCCCCCCCCCCCCCCCCGCUCCAUUUAGGUCCGGAUAGAGAGACCAUAGGUCGUCAGUUUCACAUGUGACUGCCACAUUUCUUUGUCCUUAUUUCUUUGUCAGAAAGGCAUGUGUGGGUAAUUUAACUGUGAGAAAUGAAUAUAUUGUAUGUAAUGACCACUGAGAAACUGGAGAAAUAUAUAUAUAACUGAGCUUCCUGAAAUCAAAUUAAGAACAGAGCGAUACUUGGAUGGAAGGACUCAAAGAAAUCAAAAUUUGGCCUCCUGAUCAAACAUGUUCCCUAAAACAGAUAUUAAAACGACGUAUCUGUAGCUGCUUUCAGGUGCUCCUUCACGGCUUGAAGCUGAAUGAUUUCCUUGUGGGUUAAAAUGCCAUCACACGGUGUGAUUCUGAGUCUGUUCUGUUGGCAUGUUUUGUCCAUUUCCACGUGUGUUGUCGUGAGCGUUUGCAGAAACCAUGUCCCUCACCCCUGCUCCUGUUUUGCAGACAGACUGAAAGGUAAAGUUGUGAUUGGACACGAGACGUAAACACCUGUGCAAGGUGUCAGAUCCAGAGCAACGGCUGGUGUAUAAUGUGACCUGUGACGUUAUUAUAAUGAUGAACGCGUAUAAUGAUGUAAUUAUAAUAACGUAGUACCAGAGUACCCAAAAGGUAACACCGAUCUUGGUUCAGCAUCCUGUAAAAAACUGAUCAGGCUUCACAAACAGUAGCAGCACCAGCUGAUUGAUGAUAUUCUUUACUUAAUCCAUUAAUGAUUCAGCAUUUAACAUCAAAAAGAACAUUUUUCUUAAAGUCAUGAAAUCACACAUUAUGUUGUUUUAACAAAAGCACGUCUUUAAAUCUAUGCAAUGCAGCAAUACCAGCUCUGACCACAAGGGGGACUGUAGACCUGCUGUGUUGAUGGUCUGAUUGGUCGGACACGUCACGUAAACUGUAGCUGCCGCUCAUGAUGCCAAGAGCUGACACAUCAACUCUCUUGGUACAUGCUGCCCUCAUGUGGUCAGAAGUAAUAUUACUACAUAGGGUGGCUUUAAAAUGAGGUUUUAAAUUUAAAUGCAAGGGGGAAAACAUUGCGGCUGACUUUCAAUUAAGUCAAACGUUUAUCUAUUUUUCUGCAAGGAAAUUCUGUGAAACAGAUUUGAAUGAAUACAUAUUAAAAUACUUUUUACAUAAAAAACAAGAGGAAAAGGAAAUUAUAUUAUUUUGUAGUCUAAGAGUAUGAAAAAUCCACUACAAGUACAAGUGGAAGCGACUGUGAUAGUUGGACAGAGAGAUGCAGGGUGACAGACUUGGAAAGCCAGGCUCAAAUAUAGUUAUACAAGAGAGAUUGGCAUCGAUAUGACAGCUUAUAGCCAAGUAAAAUGCAAUUUAAAUAGGCGUAAACUGACAAGUGUAUUUAUUAUUUUAACUCGUCCAAUGGGCACCAGCAGCUAGAAGCUGAUGUAUGAGCAUUUCAUUAAUUAACACUUUUGUUAAGAUAUAAGCUAAGUCAUUAAUGUAGAAAUGCAUAUAUAUGUAUAUAAAUGUAUAUAUAUGUAUAUAUAACUAUAUAUGUAUAUGUACAUACGCAUGUAUAUGUAAAGGUAGGGUAAGUAUUGAUUCUUCACAUUUCUAACCCUAAACCCUUCUAGUGAAAAGAACUAAAAAAAAAUCACAUUUCUGUGAAGAUAAUUGAUAUUAAAUGUGCAUGAACUCUGUUUUAUCAUUUGGAUUCAGUUUAUCAAUGUAAAGGAUAUUUAAGUGACACCUCUGAUCAAUAAUGAACCAAAUGUAAUCAUGUCUUUGUUUACUCACACCACUCAGUGAAGGUCCGGCGUUCCCAGGAUCCCUUCUGCUACUUCCAUCAACUUCCAUCAACUGUUUAAGCAGAGAAAAUUAUAAAUAUAUAAGUGUAUUAUUAGUCCAGACCUGUCUCCAGAAAACCCUCCUGAGACUCAUUGUCAAGGGUGGUUUCAUUUGUCUUAACCUGAACAAUUUAAAUCUUUUAUCAGCUGUAUUCUGGUCCUUUGGGUUGAAAGAGAAAGAAAGAGAAAGAAGCCUCAGGAGAUCCAAAGAGGACCAGAAGGAGACCUGGGUCUAUUUUCAAAUGUAAAAGUACUUCUGCUGGUUCAACUUUAAGAAAAGCUGAGGUCAAUCCUCUUAAAUACGCCAAAGACACCCUAAUCCCAACUGUGUCAUCGUCCAGAUGAUACGGAUACUUUGCAAAAUAAGCUCAAGCACUGAUGAAUCUGCUCUUGUUUUGAAACCCCAGCAUCAUUGUUGCUACGCAGGAAGGGGUUAAAUCAAAUAUACCUUAGCAAUCAUAACUUUACCUUUCUUUGCACCCCCCCCCCCCUUUCUCCAUGCAUUUGACGUGCAAAAGCACAGUGGUGAAUACAAUAUAUUUGAUGAUGUUAGAUUACAUACACUGAUCAUUUUCUGAAAGGAAACAAGCCCGGAAAUCUGGCAGUGAAGGAGAAGGAGCAUAAUGUCUUGCCAAACGAGCCCCUCAAAUUUAUCCUGUAGUCCUGAAGAGAUUGGGUUGCCACCUAAACGCCCCGACCCGUUCUGGCUGCUGCAGACCAGCAGAUGAACAAUCAACCAGCCCUGCUGUUAUGUGGCGAAGCCAGCAAACAAGGCAGAUUCCCCUCGCAAGGACUCCCUGUUUCCAAGGGUGACUUUGAGAGACAUUAUUCUCUGAUAGCUGCAAAUGAAAUGAUUGGGCUGCUGUGCUUGUCUGUUAGUCAGGAAAGGGUUCCUGUUAGAUCUACUUUGCUAAACAUCCAAACCAAAAGUGCCCUCAGCAAUAACUUCUGCUUCUGUUUUCAUCCAUUCUUUAAAAGCUACGCAGAAGCUGCUUUAUUCUGCCACUUCAGACCUUUUUCUUGUGAUCAGUGUGUGCCGAUUACUCAAAGCGAUACAGGCGGGGUCUGGCAUGCUAGGGUAGUCAUGGAUCGUGAAAGUAAUAUAUAUUUCUAUAUACUGUAGAGAUGCUUGCUAUCUGUGAUAUGUUGGCCAGGACCCUACUCUAUCGCUUUGUACUGUAUAAAGUAGUUUAAAAAGUUGAAUAACAUAAAAUAACAUAAUACAAUGUUAUUUAUGUUAUUUCCCACGUGAAGAACUCCUGUAAACCUUGCAGUAUUGAAACUCAGUGAACAAGGCAUCUUAGACAAGCUGAAAAACAAAUGGUGGUACGAUAAGGGUGAAUGUGGAACCAAGGACUCUGGAAGUAAGGACAAGACAAGUGCACUAAGCCUGAGCAACGUG